rnacentral:rRNA from 1 species
GACGGGGGAUGUAAGUGUUAUCCGGAAUCACUGGGCGUAAAGCGUCUGCAGGUGGUUUCCUAAGUCCACUGUUAAACCUUGAGGCUCAACCUCAAAUCUGCAUUGGAAACUAGGAGACUUGAGUAUAGUAGGGGUAGAGGGAAUUUCCAGUGGAGCGGUGAAAUGCGUAGAUAUUGGAAAGAACACCGAUGGCGAAGGCACUCUACUGGGCUAUUACUGACACUCAGAGACGAAAGCUAGGGGAGCAAAUGGG